rnacentral:rRNA from 1 species
UACAGAGAGUGCGAACGUUGUUCGGAAUUACUGGGCUUAAAGCGCACGUAGGCGGUGCUGUAAGUGUCAGGUGAAAUCCCACGGCUCACCCGUGGAACUGCCUGGCAGACUGCGGUACUAGAGUGUGGUAGGGGAGAGCGGAACUCCUGGUGGAGCGGUGAAAUGCGUAGAUAUCAGGAGGAACACCGGUGGCGAAGGCGGCUCUCUGGUCCACAACUGACGCUGAGGUGCGAAAGCCAGGGGAGCAAACGGG